GUGCUCACUUUGGCAGCACAUAUACUAAAAUUGCAUCCAAUACAGAGAAUAUAUGCAUGGCCCCUCUGCAAGGAUUACACACAAAUUCUUAAAGUGUUCCAUAUUAAA